AUUCACUUGACUGCAUAUACACUAAAUUAGAAGACUACACAGAAGGUUGGUGUGGUCCCUGCACAAUGAUGAUACACAAAAAUUCAUGAAGUAGUCCAUAUUUUU